rnacentral:rRNA from 1 species
UACGGAGGGUGCGAGCGUUGUCCGGAUUUAUUGGGUUUAAAGGGUGCGUAGGUGGCUUUUUAAGUCAGUGGUGAAAUACAGCCGCUUAACGGUUGAGGUGCCAUUGAUACUGAGAAGCUUGAAAUAAUUGGAGGCUGCCGGAAUGGAUGGUGUAGCGGUGAAAUGCAUAGAUAUCAUCCAGAACACCGAUUGCGAAGGCAGGUGGCUACGAUUUAUUUGACACUGAGGCACGAAAGCAUGGGGAGCAAAC